CCUACGGGGAGGCAGCAGUGGGGAAUUUUGGACAAUGGGCGCAAGCCUGAUCCAGCCAUGCCGCGUGUGGGAAGAAGGCCUUCGGGUUGUAAACCACUUUUGUCAGGGAAGAAACGGCCUUUUCUAAUACAGGGGGUCUAAUGACGGUACCUGAAGAAUAAGCACCGGCUAACUACGUGCCAGCAGCCGCGGUAAUACGUAGGGUGACAAGCGUUAAUCGGAAUUACUGGGCGUAAAGCGUGCGCAGGCGGUCUUUGCAAGACAGAUGUGAAAUCCCCGGGCUACAACCUGGGAACUGCAUUGUGACUGCAUGGCUAGAGUACGGUAGAGGGGGAUGGAAUUCCGCGUGUAGCAGUGAAAUGCGUAGAUAUGCGGAGGAACACCGAUGGCGAAGGCAAUCCCCUGGACCUGUACUGACGCUCAUGCACGAAAGCGUGGGGAGCAAACAGGAUUAGAUACCCUGGUAGUCCACGCCCUAAACCGAUGUCAACUGGUUGUUGGACGGCUUGCUGUUCAGUAACGAAGCUAACGCGNGAGUGACGCGNGGAGACGCGCGAGUAGAAGUAAAGAAGUAGACGNGNGAGAGAGCGAGACGACGACGAGGGAGGAGG
rnacentral:rRNA from 1 species